CGACCCCAGUCAGCGG
rnacentral:rRNA from 1 species